rnacentral:rRNA from 1 species
UUGGAGGGCAAGUCUGGUGCCAGCAGCCGCGGUAAUUCCAGCUCCAAUAGCGUAUAUUAAAGUUGUUGCAGUUAAAAAGCUCGUAGUUGAAUUUCGGGAUCAAAUAAUCGGUCGUGCCUCCGGUACGUACUGGUUUUAUUGGUUCCUCCCUUCUGACGAACCAUGAUGUCAUUAAUUUGAUGUGGUGGAGAAUCAGGACUGUUACCUUGAAAAAAUUAGAGUGUUUAAAGCAGGCUAACGCUUGAAUACAUUAGCAUGGAAUAAUGAAAUAGGACGUUCGACCCUAUUUUGUUGGUUUCUAGGAUCGACGUAAUGAUUAAUAGGGAUAGUUGGGGGCAUUAGUAUUCAAUUGUCAGAGGUGAAAUUCUUGGAUUUAUUGAAGACUAACUACUGCGAAAGCAUUUGCCAAGGAUGUUUUCAUUAAUCAAGAACGAAAGUUAGGGGAUCGAAGACGAUCAGAUACCGUCGUAGUCUUAACCAUAAACUAUGCCGACUAGGGAUCGGACGAUGUUAAUUUUUUAAUGACUCGUUCGGCGCCUUACGGGAAAC